GGAGGGAGAGAAUCCCAAGUAGAUGGGCUGCUGAGCAGGCGCUGGAGGCAGAGGUGGAACUCAAGACCCGGAGAUCCUGACCUGGGCCGGGAAAGCAGAGGUAGACGCUUAGAGCUGAGAUACCCAGGAAGGCCCUAGACUUCCGGUGAAUUUAAUAAUCACUCAGAAAAUGCAGCGCCAAUCACGGAUAUACGGAGUACAGGGAGGAGAGUCACACCUAUAGGAAUUCGUUUCACAAAAAAGCAAGAUAUCAAACAUUUAUAAGCCUUUGUCUGUUCUUUUGGAGGGAAGAACAAGCACUUCCCAACUCACAGCUUUUGGUUCUAUCUUUCCUUCCACACUGCACACCAUCUAGUGGAGGCGAGGCAGCCACCACCUUACGUUCCUUCCAGGUUGUCUCUGACGGAGACCACUCGCCAUGAGAGCCUGCAGUAGACAAGGAUCGUCUAUGCUCAGAAGGAACUGAGGUGAUACGGACUGUUAACGUUACUCUGGCUGGUAUUGGAGGUCUGAGCUGACUCCCCCGUGCUGUACCUGUGACCUCUUACCCCAUAGCCUCCUCCCAAAAUUUUUUUCCUCCCAGAUUUUACAUAAUGCAUUGCACCUUCAGGGCACUCCCAGCACUCAAGACCAAGAGUCCUUGCAAGGGCAUGUGGCCAAAUGCCUUUUAUAGAUUUGUAAGGCAGUAAUCUUCUGCCACCUCCUGGCAUGGCCCUCCAUUUAUCUGUACUCAUAUCUCUGCCUGUAGAAUUAAUGGCUUCAGAGGAAGGAGCUUGUUGCUAAUGGGUAGCAAUUCUGGAGAGGGGGAUCUGGAGGGGUCAUGCAGGGUUGAACCUAAUAACAGGCCCAGGCCUAUGGCCCAGAAGACUUUCUUACUCUGACAUUCAGCACGUUUUGUCUUACAAUUAGAAUAUUAAUAGCCGAUGCUUAUAGUGCUUACCCUGUGCCAGGCUUUCUUCUAAAUUCUUCACAAUGAACUUAGUGCUGUUAACCCCAACACUAAAGAGAGAUUUAUGAGGGAGAAAACUCCCAAUUCUAUAAUCUCAUCCAUGAGUCACUUGGAAAGCAAUCCAACUGCUUUUCUCUUUAAUUCUGUGUCAAAGUAUGAGGCUAACAUAAUAACCUCUACUGGUUGUUUUCCUUGGCAUUUCUAUAGGACAACUCCCGUCCAAACUGGCCCCCCGAGUUAGCCUGGUCCUAACAGUCUCGUGAAUGUUGACUCAGCCACAACCCUGGAUGCUCUCCCAACCUUCCCGCUUAGAGGGCACCCCGUGCACCUUUACCAGUUCAUACCCUGUCCACACGUUCCACAGCACACGUGGCUAUGUUUGGUCAUUAGAGUAGGGUGUCUGUUACAUCGGAUCUAUGUGGUGAUGUCAUUCAGAUAAAGGAGAACACUAUACCACAUUUUCAACAAUCCUGGACAGUAACAUUUCAAAGUGUAACUUUAGCAUACUGCCCCCGUACUUCACGGCCAACCAAUAAAUUCAUUAACAAAAUCUGUUUCCUCUUCUAUCCUUGAUCGAUAUUGCGAAAGUCCUUUUCAAUUCCUGUAGAACUUCUCCUUAAAGCCUGCUUUCAUUCAUUUCAAAUACAGUCAUGAUGAUAUACUCCAGGAGGUCAUCUCUCUCACAUAACUAGCAAUCUGGAUGUAAUUUUAAGCUCAGCUGGGAUUCUCCAUGUACAGAAAUAUUUAGCAGUUCGCUUAAUGGAAAUAGUAAUGUGUUACAGAAAUGAAGUAGCGUCCAUUUCUUUCCUCUGACUGGGAAGCCUAUAGCUUACUUACAACACAGCGCUUCUACUCGGACCCUUUGUCCGUGCUAACAUGAGCUGUUUCUCUCUGUGUUUCUUCAUACAUACAGUUUCAGAUUUCUAUACACAGAGAUACAUUUCUUCUUUGUAUACAAUACUUAUUUGCCUCUGUUUCUCUUGAGGAGGCAAUAAUAUUCCAUUAUCGUAUUAGUUAGGAUGAUUUUGAUACCAAUUAAUGGAAACCCUAACUCAAAUUAGGCUAAGCAAUAAAAACAAUUUAUUGGUCAUGUUAAAUAAGAUCAAGAAUUAGUCCGAGUUCUAGAUAAGGCUUGAUCCAGUAACUUAGAAAGGUAACCUGUAAUUUGACUGCUUAGUUAUCUAAAGCAUUGCAAAUGGCUUUCAACUGCUUUUAGUAUUCAUAUUCAUACCUAGCAGAAAGAACCCUUCUGUGGGAGGUGCCUGGGUGGCUCAGUCAUUAAGUGUCUUCCUUCAGCUUAGGUCAUGGUU